GCUUAUCACCAUUCCAGAUAGAAUAUACCCGAUCUCGUCUGAUCUCGGAAGUCAUGCAAUCUCGGGCUUGGUUAGUACUUGGAUGGGUGACCGCUUGGGAAUACCAAGAGUGAUAAGCA
rfam:Ciona savignyi cont_37917, whole genome shotgun sequence.